rnacentral:rRNA from 1 species
GACGAACGCUGGCGGCGUGCUUAACACAUGCAAGUCGAACGGAAAGGCCCUGCUUUUGUGGGGUGCUCGAGUGCCGAACGGGUGAGUAACACGUGAGUAACCUGCCCUAGACUUUGGGAUAACUUCAGGAAACUGGGGCUAAUAUCGGAUCGCAGCUCCUCCUCCAUGGUGGGGGUUGGAACUUCUCGGCGGUCGGGGUUGGAUUCGCGGCUUAUCAACUUGUUGGUUGGGUAGUGGCUUACCAAGGCUUUGACGGGUCCCCGGCCUGUGAGGGGGACCGGCCACAAUGGGACUGAGAGACGGCCCAGACUCGUAUGGGAGGCAGCAGUGGGGAAUCUUGCACAGUGGGCGGAAGCCUGAUGCAGCAACGCCGCGUGCGGGAUGACGGCCUUCGGGUUGUAAACCGCUUUCGCUUGUGACGAAGCGUGAGUGACGGUAAUGGGUAAAGAAGCACCGGCUAACUACGUG